rnacentral:rRNA from 1 species
AUUGAACGCUGGCGGCAGGCCUAACACAUGCAAGUCGAGCGAGCGGCGGACGGGUGAGUUAUGUAUGGGGAUCUGCCCGAUAGAGGGGUAUAACUACUGGACACGGUGGCUAAUACCGCAUACUAUCGGAUGCACCUAUAUGGGAUUAGCUUGUAGGUGGGGUAAAGGCUCACCUAGGCGACGAUCUCUAGCUGGUCUGAGAGGAUGAUCAGCCACACUGGGACUGAGACACGGCCCAGACUCCUACGGGAGGCAGCAGUGGGGAAUAGUGCACAAUGGGCGCAAGCCUGAUGCAGCCAUGCCGCGUGUAUGAAGAAGGCCUUAGGGUUGUAAAGUACUUUCAGCGGGGAGGCGUUACCCGCAGAAGAAGCACCGGCUAACUACGUGCCAGCCGCCGCGGUAAUUC